AAAGAUUAAGCCAUGCAUGUCUAAGUACAAACUUAUAAUUAAAGUGAAACCGCGAAAGGCUCAUUAAAUCAGUUAUGGUUCCUUAGAUCGUACCACAAUUACUUGGAUAACUGUGGUAAUUCUAGAGCUAAUACAUGCAAACAGAGCUCUGACCGGAGACGGAAGGAGUGCUUUUAUUAGAUCAAAACUAAUCGGCGGCGGUAGCAUUUCGGUGUUAUCGUUCGUCGCUCAAUAAAUGGUGAAUCUGAAUAACUUUAUGCUGAUCGCAUGGUCUUGAACCGGCGAUGCAUCUUUCAAAUGUCUGCCUUAUCAACUGUCGAUGGUAGGAUCUGCGCCUACCAUGGUUG
rnacentral:rRNA from 1 species